AGACUGAGCUGCAGUAGAAAAAGACUGGCGGCCAUCUUUAUUUAUUGCGGUCGGCGUUGUGACAGAUCGGACUAUUUUUUUCACUCUCAGGAUCCCACUGGCAUACAACUGUAAGUUACUGUGAAGGUGGUGGUGCUCAAUGGCGUUGGGCAGGUGCCGGCGAGGCAGUGACUCCUUGGAGGGGUUGCACGCACACAUGUACAAUGAAUGACAUUCCUUCAGAAAGAUGUGGAAUUACGGCAUUCCAAGUGUACCUGAUUGCAUUUGCUGUGCAGUGGAACAGCCGCAUGGAAUCACUCUGGGUUGCGGGUGGUCAGGGUCGGCAGAUGUCAUGUAUGGAUGCACGGCAGAUCCAGCGCAUCAAUCAGCAAGCUGAGGU